CUCAACCGUAAGGAGGGGGAUGCCUAAGGCAGGGCUAGUGACUGGGGUGAAGUCGUAACAAGGUAGCCGUACCGGAAGGUGUGGCUGGAUCACCUCCUUAAAGGGAGACCUAAUUCGGGUAUAAGACGAAAAAAUAGUAGUCGAAACCAAGAAUCAAUCCCAAAAGGUCGGAGCGAGGCGAAAUUGGCUUUCAAACUAGGUUCUGGGUUCAAACAAGACCUGAAUCAGGAACAAGGGCUAUUAGCUCAGGUGGUUAGAGCGCACCCCUGAUAAGGGUGAGGUCCCUGGUUCGAGUCCAGGAUGGCCCACCUGCACAGGUGGCAAAAACAAAGAAAAGAAGCUCCGAAUCAGCACCUUAUCUUACUUAUAUAUAGUAAGAGAGAAUGCUGGCUCUGAGUUCAGAGUCCAGAGGAACCUUGAAAACUGCAUAGAGCUAGGUGAAAAAGCCAAAAAAGAAGACCGCAAGGUCAAGCUAAUAAGGGCUAACGGUG
rnacentral:sRNA from 1 species